rnacentral:rRNA from 1 species
UAGGGAAUCUUCCACAAUGGACGCAAGUCUGAUGGAGCAACGCCGCGUGAGUGAAGAAGGUUUUCGGAUCGUAAAGCUCUGUUGUUGGUGAAGAAGGAUAGAGGUAGUAACUGGCCUUUAUUUGACGGUAAUCAACCAGAAAGUCACGGCUAACUACGUGCCAGCAGCCGCGGUAAUACGUAGGUGGCAAGCGUUGUCCGGAUUUAUUGGGCGUAAAGCGAGCGCAGGUGGAAGAAUAAGUCUGAUGUGAAAGACCUCGGCUUAACCGAGGAACUGCAUCGGAAACUGUUUUUCUUGAGUGCAGAAGAGGAGAGUGGAAUUCCAUGUGUAGCGGUGGAAUGCGUAGAUAUAUGGGAGAACACCAGUGGCGAAGGCGACUCUCUGGUCUGCAACUGACGCUGAGGCUCGAAAGCAUGGGUAGCGAACAGG